rnacentral:lncRNA from 14 species
CUCCUUUAUUAGCAUUACAACACAGGAUAUAGGCUACAGCUGGUACUUUUUGAACCAGGUGAACAUAGGCAUGGCAAGCUAAUACAGAUGGGUUCCUCUGUCUGUUGCCUAGAUCUCUGCCACAGGCUCUGAGGAGCUUUCUUGUCCUUGUCCUGGUCUCUGCCUCUGGCCCUGCUAUCAGUACUGAUGGUGUGUGUGCACAUAUAACCAACAGGCUUCACAGAUACUAACAGGAGUUUUGAGUUUCUGUAUGGUUUGAUGAAAAUACAGCUUGGUAUCUGGAUGCUGAACUCCUGGGCUGCUUCACUGGUGCUGCUUCCUUCUGCCUCCACGACUGACUUACGUUCUCCCAUCUAUAACCUCAUAUGGAGUGACCUCAAGAAGUCCAGGGAUAGGUGGAUUGGCAGGACAGACAUGAGCAAACUUCUUAACUCGAAGCUAGGGGCAACUGGGGGAAGCCAUGGAGCUGCUGAUAGCUGCCACUUACUGGAAACGAGUGAAUGA